AGUGUUAUCACUGGAUCAUAUGGUAAGACUAUGUUUACCUUUUUAAGAAACUGUCAGACUGUCUUCCAAAGUAGUUGUACCAUUUUGUAUUACUACCAGCAAU
rnacentral:pre_miRNA from 1 species